GCACUGCUAAUGAGUCCCAAACAGGACGAAACAGCUGUUCAGUGC
rnacentral:hammerhead_ribozyme from 1 species